ensembl:lncRNA
AAUUUUUUUAGCGUCUGUUUCCAUGUUGACUCGUCGAUACGUCGCUCUGUUGAGAAUGUCUUGUGUGUUAACCGUGAACAUACUUUCAGUUGACCGAACUUAUUCCCGGACACGUUUUUAAAACCAGCAAACCUCAAGCAAGGAUUGGGUUGAUUAACCGAGAGGUCAGGGUAUAGGUCGGGGCAAACCUUGUUUUCUAGAAUACACCCCAGUUUUGAGUACACACAAUGUUAUUUGUGUUGCUGAUGAUAAACAUUAAUUCAUAUUAAUUACUUAAAAGAUGAUAAGAAACUAUUAUGUAUUACAUUACAGGUCUCUCAAGAUUUGUUAUGUAUAUGAUUGGAGCAGUUGGCCUGGUAUUCCUGAAUUCAUUUGCAUUAGGAACACAACUGAUCCUGAAUUUACGAAGAGUUGAAAUAAUACAAGAGGACCUACGUGUCAUUGUCUUUCCUGCCGAAGGUGCUUUUGUCCUAUGCUGGCUAGCAUACUUAACAUUUAGUUACGGUCAUUGUGUGGCAGCUUGUAAAAAAAGGAAAGCUCUUAACUGUUGGAAUAAACCUCUGAACAAACACAGAAGUAAUCCGAAAAAUGCUCAGGAUCCACCAGAGAGUCUUGAACUACAAACUUUGCAUGUGUAAUGAGAGAAAUGGGCUAGAAGAUUUACCAAAUGCUCUAUUUUAUAUAGACACACCACAUUAAUUUACAGUAAGGAUUCUGACAGACCAGGCUAUCUUUGGUAAUUGUUCAAACAUUUUGUUGUUGUUGUGUGUACAUUAAAUUGUAUAAUUUUAUUUAGAUUUGUCUCAUCAAAAGUUGUCAAAGGUUUUUUUUUUUUUUUUUUUUUUUUUUUUUUUUUUUUUCAAUGUUUUUUUGUGAUUAAAAAAUGCUGUUUUUGAGAGCAAAACUGCUGUGUAUGGAAAUAUAGUAUUUUUUAUUUUAAAACAGCUUUGAGAUGGCUUUUUACUUGAAAUAAAGUAAUCGAAAACAAAACUUUUCA